GUCCCUGGCACCCCUGGGUGCCCUUGUCACUUGUGGGUGACACCCUGUCACCUGUGAGUGGGUGUCCUUGUCACCCCUGGGUGGGCGUCACUGUCACACAGGGCUGGAUGUCGCUGUCAUCCGUGGGUGAGUGUCCCUGUCACCCGUGGCAGACUCUCCCUGUCACCCAUGUGUGCUGUCCCCGUCCCCUGCAGCUCUCUGUCCCCACCCCCAGGCGUGGCUGUCCCAGCCCUGCCACUCGCUGUCCCCGAGCCGUGUCCCCUGUCUGGGCAGUGGCAGUGGCAGUGGCAGUGGCAGUGGGUGGCUGUCCCCUCCCAGGCCGGUGCUGGUGGCUGGGCCCCCCGGCUGCUCACACUCAGCCCCGCUCCCAAGCCCUUCCCUGCAGCCUGCUAUUCUCCAUCUGAAGGCUGCCUGACAGCUUUAAUCUGAUGCUUAAAUGGAUGGGAGAGAAGCCGUCGUGCAGGAAGGCUGUAAUUUAAUUACUUGGGAAGCGCACAGUUUAAGACAUUUAAAAUGUAUUAUUUUAGCCUGGCUGCUCUGGCAAAAUCCAAUUGGAGUUUUGAGCGUGCUUAUUUCUAUUUCAGACUAACGCUACAAAAUGCCUUCUGUAGAGUGUGUUUGUUAAGAAAUUAAUUGUCUUUGAGGAAAGGAAAAUGCCCUGGGUGGGACUUGCUCCUCGAAGCAGAGAAAUGUGUUUGAAUUUUGCUUUUGUAGUGCUAUAAACCCAGCUCAGGCAGGAGGGGAGCAGGGCCUGGAGUCCUGAUCCCUCUCUGGGCUGGCCCUGUGCUCCCUCAGCGCUCUGCAAACGAGUUUUGGGAGAUGUUCAUUGGCAAAGCCCUGUCCAGAACACAAAUAAUCAGUGGGACAUGGGGUUUGAGGAGCAGGAGAAGCAGGAAGCUCAUGGAAAAUGAGGCCCUGAAGCUCCUGGGUGCCCCCUUUGAAGUGCUGGUGCCCUGUCUCUGACAGCUCCUCGGGAGGGAAGCUGGAGCAGGUUUGUCCUUGGUUUGGUUACAAAAUUCAGGAUUGGUGUGAGAACAGGCCCACAGCAGCUUACAGCAGCUGGGUGCAGCACGUGGAGAGCGUGGAUGCAGUGGGGACGGUGUCUGCACGGAGGGUGCAGGGCAGCACAGCUGGGCUGGGCUCCCCAGCUCCCCGAGGGCUCCUGAGCCACCAGGAGAACGUGCCCUUGAUGUAAACAAGCUGCCUCCGAGAUAUUUUGAGGAUGAAGUCAUGAAGAUUCUAUGGCAUACCUAUAUUUUCCUUUUGGCAUUGACUUUGCUGUAAAAGCUGACACAGAAAAGCAGCUUCAGCUGUGCUGGCUGGGGAAGGGCUGCAGCUGCUCCUCAGAGCCUUCAGCAGCCCACAGUGGCUGGGCUGGGAGGGAUGCCACGGGCAGGGACACCUCCCACUCUGCCAGGAUGCUCCAAGCCCUGUCCAACGUGGUAAUUUUUCCCCAAUAUUCCACCCAUCCCUGCUCUCUGGCCAUGGGAAGCCGUUCCUCCCACCCUGUCACUCCAGGCCCUUUUCAGCAAUCCUUCAAAUCUUUCAAAAAUUUUAUUUUCUCUGUCAAAAACCAAAAGUCCCGUGCAGUAAUUAAAACAUAAAUUCCAUUAUUUUCCCCAGUGGUUUCCCUACCUCAGGCUGGUUGUUUUUAAAACAACUCCUGAGAAUCACUUUUAUCUAAAUAUUGUUGCAAGGACAGAUUGCCCCUCCAAAGGGGAAUCUCCCCUUGCUGGGCCAUCCCUGAGGGUGCUCGGGGAUGCUGAUGGGAUGGAGCUGCCUUGGGCUGUGCCGAGAGCCCGGAGUUACCCUGGGGCUGCCCAGACCCCCUCCCCAGUCCCGGGGCUGUGCCAGAAUCAGCCUCUCCUGCCUAUGGAGAGAGCUCCUGUUCCUCACUUCCAGCUGGCUCCACUCCAGCUCGGUGAGUGGUGCUUUCCAAGGUGGGCCGGGGGUGGGGUGGGGAGGCACCCCUGACAGGCUCUUACGGGCUGUAGUUUGCCUCUUCGGGUGGGAGGUGGCACGGGAAGCAGGGCAGGUGGCAUUUCUGGUGGCUGUGCCCCUGCACACAUGCAUGACUCGGAUGUUGAUUUCCAAAAACUGGGAUGUGGUCAGCGGGCAGGGCAGGGCCUGUCCCAGGCCCUGUGUCCAUCCCCAGCAGCCCCACAGGGCUGGGGACCGCCAGGGGACACUGGGGACCGCCAGGGGACACUGGGGACCGCCAGGGGACACUGGGGACAGCGGGGGCUGCGGUCCCCCCUCGCACAGCCGGGAUGGAUAGAGCUCUCCCCGUUCCUCAUUUCUGGCACUAACUUCCUUCCAUCACGGGUUUUUUGCACGGAUCACGUAAUCCCCUCAGCCAGCUGAAAUCCUGCACUUUAAAAGCCUCGCUGCAGAAUGACAAAGAGUUUUUUUUAUUCCCUUGCAGCCGGGGUCGGCCGGUGACGGUGACGAAGCGCGGCGGGGGCAGCGCCGUGGGCUGCGCUGGGAACGCGCUGGGAAUGCGCUGGGAAUGCGCUGGGGAUGAGCUCGGGAUGAGCUCGGGAUGCGGGAUGUGCUGGGGCUGCGGGAUGUGCUCGGGAUGAGCUCGGGAUGCGCUGGGGAUGCGGGAUGUGCUCGGGAUGAGCUCGGGAUGAGCUCGGGAUGCGGGAUGUGCUCGGGAUGAGCUCGGGAUGUGCUGGGGCUGUGCUGGGGAUGCGCUGGGGAUGAGCUCGGGAUGCGCCGGCACCCCCCGGGGCAGGAGCUGUUCCCAUGGAACCCCCGCCCCGGCACCCCCCGGUGACCCCGGUGACUCUGGGGGUCCCCGGGCAGCCGUGCCCGGCUCCGGGCGGGCUCGGGGCCAUCUCCUGUGCCUUACCCACACUUAAUGCGUCAUCUGCAAGUUCAGCGAGCCCGGGAGAGCGCCGGGGAGCUGCAGCUGAGGCGGCCACCCACGCAGCCUGCCAGCACGGGAGGGGAGCUGGCAAGUGAGGAGGAGCCAGGGAACGGGGGCUGGCUGCCCUUCAGGCCCCUGCUCGUGCCCUGUGCCAGCCACGGCUGGGCUGGGUGCCCGGCUGGGUGCCCAGUGCCCAGGAGCCCUCCCAGCCCAUCACACGGCCCUGCCCUGUCUCUGCAGUUUUUGCACCAGGCAGUUCCUGUUUGGUGUCACUGAGCGUCCCUGCAGCACGGCCUGCGUGGCACGGAGCGGGCACAGAGGACACCUGGGACUGGGCAUGGCUGGCAGUGUCCCAGGCCAGGCCUGGAGCAGCUGGGACAGUGGGAGCUGUCCCUGCCAGGGCAGGGUGCAGUGGCAUCAUCUGCAGGGUCCCUGGUGACCCAGCCACUCCGGGGUUGUGUGAUCCAUCUGCCCUGGCAGCAGGAGGGCAGCGCUGCUCCUUCCCUGCACUGCCACUGCAGCACGUGAGCCAAGUGCAAUUCCCUUUCCUUUCUGUAACAGGUAGGAGAUCACAGCAGUUUGCAGAGCAGCAAACACGAGCGCAGCCACAGUGCAGGUGUCAGAUUGAAUGCCAGAGCGAAGUGAAGGAUGCACGUGCUCAAGCAGGAGCAGAAAUCUGUGUUUUCAGCUCGCACAACUUGGGCCACCCACGCUGGUCCAGCUGCUGCAGCUUUGUGUGUUUGUCUGGGCUGCUCUUCAGUUGGGAACAGAGGUAAAAAAUCCCUGAGAUUUGGUGCUCUGCAUAAAUAUCCAAACUUCAUCAGCCAGGAGCAUUUGGGCAACGCUCCCAGGGAUGCCCAGGUGGGAUUGCUGGGGUGGCUGUGCAGGGCCAGGGCUGGCACCGGGUGACCCUGGGGGUCCCUUCCAGCUCAGGACGUUCUGUGAGUCUGAUUCUCUUUGUCUGUGCUGCAGCUUUGUGGCCUGGGGCUGUCCUGACCUCUGUCCCCACAAGGAACCUUGGCUGGAUGUGGUGCCUUGGUCUGGGCACACAAAGGUGCCAGGGCCACGGGAUGAAGUGACGCUGUGGGGACAGAUGACACUGUGGGGAUCAAGGUGGCACUGUGGGGAUCAAGGUGACACUAUGGGGACGAGGUGGCACUGCGGGGAUCAAGGUGGCACUGCGGGGAUCAAGGUGACACUAUGGGGACGAGGUGGCACUGCAGGCACAGGUGGCACUGUGGGGAUGAGGUGACACUGUGAGGAUCAAGGUGGCACUGUAGGCACAGGUGGCACUGCGGGCACAGGUGGCACUGCGGGCACAGGAGGGCCCCUCUCAGCUGGGCUGUGUCCCGUGGAUGGGACGGAGCAGUUUGGGUCGCACUGGGGUAAAACAGGCUCCGUUUAGGAUCAGGGGAUGUUUCCGAGGGAGCAGCGGGCAGGUGGGCUGUGCAGAGCCAGGAAAGCUGCCAGCGGGGCUUGCUCCACCCCACCCUUUUUAUUUCGCAUUAUUGACUUCGGCUUUAACCCCAUCCUCGCCGAACCAUUUCUCCCCAGCUGUGAGCCCUUUCUGCGGCACCCCCAGGGCAGCGGGGCCGCUGUGGUUUGUCCCUGCCCGGGCUGCUGCGGGUGUCCUGGGGCGCUCAGCCCCCCGUCAGUGCAGCAGAGGGGUUUGCAACCCCCGGGCCACCCAAAGCUCGGGUUUGUGACCCCCGGGCCAC